rnacentral:rRNA from 1 species
GACGAACGCUGGCGGCGUGCCUAAUACAUGCAAGUCGAGCGAACAAAGAGGAACUUGCCCCUCGAUGUUAUCGGCGGGCGGGGGAGUAACACGUGGGCAAACUGCCUGUAAGACUGGGAUAACAUCGGGAAAACGGGGCUCAUACCGGGGAAUACUUUUGAACUCACGUUGGAAAACUGAAAAAUGGGUUCGUCUAGCACUUACAGAAGGGCCCGCGGCCCAUUAGCUAGUUGGUGAGGUAACGGCUCACCAAGGCAACGAUGCGUAGCCGACCUGAGAGGGUGAUCGGCCACACUGGGACUGAGACACGGCCCAGACUCCUACGGGAGGCAGCAGUAGGGAAUCUUCUGCAAUGGACGAAAGUCUGACGGAGCAACGCCGCGUGAGUGAUGAAGGUUUUCGGAUCGUAAAACUCUGUUGUUAGGGAAGAACAAGUACCGGAGUAACUGCCGGUACCUUGACGGUACCUAACCAGAAAGCCACGGCUAACUACGUG